GGGGCGAGGAGUGGCGCACCGGGGUAAGAAAGCAUCAGCCUCAAGCAGAAACCUGGCAACUGUAAUUCUUCUCAUCCUAAAGCCCUCCCAGUGGAGGAGGUCCCUGCAAAGAGCGACAUCCCCUUCUCAACCUCCACCUCAGGGAGGAGUCCCGCCUCAGGAAGGAAUGUCAGGUGCAGGGAGGCAUACUUCGUGGGUGACUUCAACUUCUUUACAGCGUGACUUCAACUUCCCUACAAGUUAAACUAAGGCUGUCUCCUGAGCUGACUGACUUCUCUCAUUAGACCGAUGUAAUUUUUAAAAAUCUACACACAUAACAAACAAAAGAAACAGCUCAGAGUGAAUUAAUGAAGGUAAAGAGGUAUGAAAAUGACAAUCUUGAGGACAGUUGCAAAGAUAAAAAAUAUUUUGCUAUCGUU